AUUGAACGCUGGCGGCAUGCCUUACACAUGCAAGUCGAACGGCAGCAUGAUAUAGCUUGCUUGUUUGAUGGCGCGUGGCGCGCGCGUGUGUAAUACAUCUCAGCAUGUCCUGUUGUGUGGGGUAACUCGUCGGGAGAUUAACUCUUACCGCAUACGCCCCGAGGGUGUGAGUGGGGGACAGCAACGCACCAUGCUCUAUUAGCGGCCGAUGUCGGAUUAGCUAGUUGGUGGGGUAAAGGCUCACCAAGGCGACGAUCUGUAGCUGGUCUGAGAGGACGAUCAGCCACACUGGGACUGAGACACGGUCCAGACUCCUACGGGAGGCAGCAGUGGGGAAUUUUGGACAAUGGGCGAAAGCCUGAUCCAGCAAUGCCGCGUGUGUGAAGAAGGCCUUCGGGUUGUAAAGCACUUUUGUUCGGAAAGAAAAGGAGCUGGUUAAUACCUCGGGUCGAUGACGGUACCGGAAGAAUAAGGACCGGCUAACUACGUG
rnacentral:rRNA from 1 species